rnacentral:rRNA from 1 species
UACGUAGGGUGCAAGCGUUAAUCGGAAUUACUGGGCGUAAAGCGUGCGCAGGCGGUUAUGUAAGACAGAUGUGAAAUGCCCGGGCUUAACCUGGGAACUGCAUUUGUGACUGCAUGGCUAGAGUUUGGCAGAGGGGGGCAGAAUUCCACGUGUAGCAGUGAAAUGCGUAGAUAUGUGGAGGAACACCGAUGGCGAAGGCAGCCCCCUGGGUCAAGACUGACGCUCAUGCACGAAAGCGUGGGGAGCAAACAGG